UGGGGAAUAUUGGACAAUGGGCGCAAGCCUGAUCCAGCCAUGCCGCGUGUGUGAAGAAGGCCUUUUGGUUGUAAAGCACUUUAAGUGAGGAGGAGGCUACUUGGAUUAAUACUCUAGGAUAGUGGACGUUACUCGCAGAAUAAGCACCGGCUAACUCUGUGCCAGCAGCCGCGGUAAUACAGAGGGUGCGAGCGUUAAUCGGAUUUACUGGGCGUAAAGCGUGCGUAGGCGGCUUUUUAAGUCGGAUGUGAAAUCCCUGAGCUUAACUUAGGAAUUGCAUUCGAUACUGGGACGCUAGAGUAUGGGAGAGGAUGGUAGAAUUCCAGGUGUAGCGGUGAAAUGCGUAGAGAUCUGGAGGAAUACCGAUGGCGAAGGCAGCCAUCUGGCCUAAUACUGACGCUGAGGUACGAAAGCAUGGGGAGCAAACAGG
rnacentral:rRNA from 1 species